ensembl:snRNA U6 U6 spliceosomal RNA
GUGCUCACUUCAGCAGCACAUAUACUAAAAUUGGAACAAUACAGAGAAGAUUAGUGAAGCGUUCUAUACAGUGAAGCAUUCCAUAUUUCU